CAGCAUUUCUACCCAUUUUAGAAUGAAAAACAAUAUCUGGUAAAUGAGCGCCCCUACUGCGUUUGCAUACUUGUUCUAUUUCAGUAAUGUUCACCAUUAAUCUCCUUAAGAGUUCCACAUCAGUGCUUUCAAUCAUUUUACAAAUUUCUUCCUUGAAAUUGGGUUGUAUUCAUACAUUUUUGAUUGAUCACCAUCUCUUGAGAGAAUUCACCUUGUGAACUUUUUACACUGUAAGUUAACCAUUUCACAUGCAGUGUGGCAUGUUCUGCUAAAACCAUAAGUUUGAAAAAUUUGUCAAGUAAUUGAAAGCCCUGAUGUGGAACUCUGCAGAAGAGUAAUGGUGAAUUUUAAUGAAAGAGUACAUCCAUGCAUUGGUGUUCAUUUGUUGCGACAUAUUUUUCAUUCUGAAAUGGGCAGAAAUUCUGAUUUCAAUGGUCUUUUUAAUCAAAUUAUUAUUUUAAAUCCAAUGAUACCGUUAAAUCUCCAGUUACAUAUAAAAUAAAAGUUUGAGUUCUAAUUAUCAGUAUCUUGAAGUAUUUAUUUUUUUUAUUGAUUAUGUCAAAGGAAAUGGGACUAUUCAGUAAAAUAAAAAAUAAU